AUUGAACGCUGGCGGCAUGCCAUACACAUGCAAGUCGAACGGCAGCACGGACUUCGGUCUGGUGGCGAGUGGCGAACGGGUGAGUAAUGCAUCGGAACGUACCCGGUAGUGGGGGAUAACUACCCGAAAGGGUGGCUAAUACCGCAUAUACUGUGCGCAGGAAAGCAGGGGACCUUCGGGCCUUGUGCUACCGGAGCGGCCGAUGUCAGAUUAGGUAGUUGGUGGGGUAACGGCCUACCAAGCCUGCGAUCUGUAGCGGGUCUGAGAGGAUGAUCCGCCACACUGGGACUGAGACACGGCCCAGACUCCUACGGGAGGCAGCAGUGGGGAAUUUUGGACAAUGGGCGCAAGCCUGAUCCAGCCAUGCCGCGUGAGUGAAGAAGGCCUUCGGGUUGUAAAGCUCUUUCGGACGGAAAGAAAUCGCGCAGGCUAAUACCCUGCGCGGAUGACGGUACCGUCAUAAGAAGCACCGGCUAACUACGUGCCAGCAGCCGCCGUAA
rnacentral:rRNA from 1 species